rnacentral:rRNA from 1 species
CCUGCAUGAAGUCGGAAUUGCUAGUAAUCGCAGAUCAGCAUGCUGUGGUGAAUACGUUCCCGGGCCUUGUACACACCGCCCGUCACACCAUGGGAGUCGGUAACACCCAAAGUUGGUAGUCUAACCGCAAGGAGGACGCCGCCUAAGGUGGGAUUGAUGACUGGGGUGAAGUCGUAACAAGGUAUC